rnacentral:lncRNA from 1 species
GAAAAUGCGAGGGUAGAGUCCGUGUGGACCCGGACAGAUUUCACAUAAAAAAAAACAAAUAAAAUCAUAUUAGCACGUGAGAAAUCAAAAGAAGGUGGCAAGAUAAAAGUAAAUAUAAAGAUAAAAUAAAUAAUGCAUGCUAAUUUGAUCAUUGGCAACGCAAACUUAAACAAGAAUUUUUAAAAGGAAAACCGAUUAAGAACUAACAUUUCUCAUAUCUACAGUAAUAGAUAAUGAUGGGGGAAAAGGGUCAAAGGAAAAUUAAUGUCCUUUUCUAGAAAUCAACGAUGCAA